GCGCCACUCGUACAGUGGUUAGUACACCAGUUUCCCAAACUGGAAACGUCAGUUCGAUUCUGAUGUGGCGCUCCA
rnacentral:tRNA from 2 species